UGGGGUGAUUUGGGGGCCAUCAUCAAUUUGGGAUCAUCAUUUGGGGCCACUAUUUGGAAGGUUUGGGGUGAUUUGGGGGCCAUCAUCAAUUUGGGAUCAUCAUUUGGGGCCACUAUUUGGAAGGUUUGGGGUGAUUUGGGGGCCAUCAUCAAUUUGGGAUCAUCAUUUGGGGCCACUAUUUGGAAGGUUUGGGGCCACUAUGGAAGGUUUGGGGUGAUUUGGGGGCCAUCAUCAAUUUGGGAUCAUUAUUUGGGGCCACUAUACGGAAGGUUUGGGGCCAUCGUGGUUUGGGGCCAAUUGGAGCCACUAUUUGGAAUGUUUGGGGUGAUUUGGGGCCAUCAUCAAUUUGGGAUCAUUAUUUGGGGCCACUAUUUGGAAGGUUUGGGGCCACCAUCCUUGUUUGGGGUUAAUUGGAGCCACUAUUUGGAAGGUUUGGGGUGAUUUGGGGCCAUCAUCAAUUUGGGGUCAUCAUUUGGGGCCACGAUAUGGAAUGUUUGGGGUGAUUUGGGGGCAUCAUCAAUUUGGAGCCACUAUUUGGAAGGUUUGGGGUGAUUUGGGGUCAUCAUCAAUUUGGGAUCAUCAUUUGGGGCCACGAUAUGGAAGGUUUGGGGUGAUUUGGGGGCCAUCAUCAAUUUG